ncrna:Cereibacter sphaeroides ATCC 17029 L2-Alphaproteobacteria ribosomal protein leader
GGCCCCUCCCGAGGGGUCUCUAGCUGACGGAAGACAGGAA